UACGUAGGUGGCGAGCGUUGUCCGGAUUUACUGGGCGUAAAGGGAGCGUAGGCGGGCUUUUAAGUGAGAUGUGAAAUACUCGGGCUCAACUUGAGUGCUGCAUUUCAAACUGGAAGUCUAGAGUGCAGGAGGGGAGAAUGGAAUUCCUAGUGUAGCGGUGAAAUGCGUAGAGAUUAGGAAGAACACCAGUGGCGAAGGCGAUUCUCUGGACUGUAACUGACGCUGAGGCUCGAAAGCGUGGGGAGCAAACAGG
rnacentral:rRNA from 1 species